GGGGUCCCAGUUCCGAAC
rnacentral:siRNA from 1 species